rnacentral:rRNA from 1 species
CCUACGGGAGGCAGCAGUGAGGAAUAUUGGUCAAUGGACGAGAGUCUGAACCAGCCAAGUAGCGUGAAGGAUGACUGCCCUAUGGGUUGUACACUUCUUUUAUAUGGGAAUAAAAUGUUCCACGUGUGGGAUUUUGUAUGUACCAUUUGAAUAAGGAUCGGCUAACUCCGUGCCCUCAGCCGCGGUAAUACGGAGGAUCCGAGCGUUAUCCGGAUUUAUUGGGGUUAAAGGGAGCGUAGGUGGAUUGUUAAGUCAGUUGUGAAAGUUUGCGGCUCAAACGUAAAAUUGCAGUUGAAACUGGCAGUCUUGAGUACAGUAGAGGUGGGCGGAAUUCGUGGUGUAGCGGUGAAAUGCUUAGAUAUCACGAAGAACUCCGAUUGCGAAGGCAGUUCACUGGACUGCAACUGACACUGAGGCUCGAUAGUGUGGGUAUCAAACAGGAUUAGAUACCCUGGUAGUC